CCUACGGGAUGCAGCAGUGAGGAAUAUUGGUCAAUGGACGCAAGUCUGAACCAGCCAUGCCGCGUGCAGGAAGACGGCUCUAUGAGUUGUAAACUGCUUUUGUACGAGGGUAAACGCAGAUACGCGUAUCUGUCUGAAAGUAUCGUACGAAUAAGGAUCGGCUAACUCCGUGCCAGCAGCCGCGGUAAUACGGAGGAUUCAAGCGUUAUCCGGAUUUAUUGGGUUUAAAGGGUGCGUAGGCGGUCGGAUAAGUUAGAGGUGAAAUCCCGAGGCUCAACUUCGGAAUUGCCUCUGAUACUGUUAGGCUAGAGAGUAGUUGCGGUAGGCGGAAUGUAUGGUGUAGCGGUGAAAUGCUUAGAGAUCAUACAGAACACUGAUUGCGAAGGCAGCUUACCAAGCUACAUCUGACGUUGAGGCACGAAAGCGUGGGGAGCAAACAGGAUUAGAUACCCUUGUAGUC
rnacentral:rRNA from 1 species